rnacentral:rRNA from 1 species
AAGCCAGACUCCUACGGGAGGCAGCAGUGGGGGAUAUUGCACAAUGGGGGAAACCCUGAUGCAGCGACGCCGCGUGGGUGAAGAAGCGCCUCGGCGCGUAAAGCCCUGUCAGCAGGGAAGAAAAUGACGGUACCUGAAGAAGAAGCCCCGGCUAACUACGUGCCAGCAGCCGCGGUAAUACGUAGGGGGCAAGCGUUAUCCGGAUUUACUGGGUGUAAAGGGGGCGCAGACGGCGAUGCAAGCCAGGAGUGGAAGCCCGGGGCCCAACCCCGGGACUGCUCUUGGAACUGCGUGGCUGGAGUGCAGGAGGGGCAGGCGGAAUUCCUGGUGUAGCGGUGAAAUGCGUAGAUAUCAGGAGGAACACCGGUGGCGAAGGCGGCCUGCUGGUCUGCAACUGACGUUGAGGCCCGAAAGCGUGGGGAGCAAACAGGAUUAGAUACCCCAGUA